AGCUAACGCGUUAAGUAGACCGCCUGGGGAGUACGGCCGCAAGGUUAAAACUCAAAUGAAUUGACGGGGGCCCGCACAAGCGGUGGAGCAUGUGGUUUAAUUCGAUGCAACGCGAAGAACCUUACCUGGUCUUGACAUCCACGGAAGGUCUCAGAGAUGAGACUGUGCCUUCGGGAGCCGUGAGACAGGUGCUGCAUGGCUGUCGUCAGCUCGUGUUGUGAAAUGUUGGGUUAAGUCCCGCAACGAGCGCAACCCUUAUCCUUUGUUGCCAGCGGUCCGGCCGGGAACUCAAAGGAGACUGCCAGUGAUAAACUGGAGGAAGGUGGGGAUGACGUCAAGUCAUCAUGGCCCUUACGACCAGGGCUACACACGUGCUACAAUGGCGCAUACAAAGAGAAGCGACCUCGCGAGAGCAAGCGGACCUCAUAAAGUGCGUCGUAGUCCGGAUUGGAGUCUGCAACUCGACUCCAUGAAGUCGGAAUCGCUAGUAAUCGUGGAUCAGAAUGCCACGGUGAAUACGUUCCCGGGCCUUGUACACACCGCCCGUCACACCAUGGGAGUGGGUUGCAAAAGAAGUAGGUAGCUUAACCUUCGGGAGGGCGCUUACCACUUUGUGAUUCAUGACUGGG
rnacentral:rRNA from 1 species